AUGUCUUCUGCAAGGCCACGGCGCCGGUCUGUUCGCUUGGGUGGGAAAAGUGCACGUGGCCAAGGUUCAUCUCCUGGAGACACUGAAUAGGGUGGCACUCAUGGCUCUCUCUAUAGCCAAAGAAGAGAAAUUUGUCACUUGUAGAGGGUGAGGCAUCUGCCCUGUCUAUGGAUGAGAUGAAUCACAGCCCAAUUUCUCUUGAUUGGCCUUAAUGGGAGAGUAAAGCAAUUAGUGGAAUGGAUGGGGAUACUUCAGGAGCCUCACGCUGGACAGGAUGGAUGCUUCCUUUGAUCACCUCGGCUGGAUAAGGACCUACGCCUCCUACAUCUGACAGCCACCUAAUGCCCUGACCUGGAAGUACUUUGAAUUAGUAGUACUACAGUAACACAGAGAAGAAUAAAAUCUUGAAUCUCUGGGGGGAUCUACUCAUGGGCAUCAUACUAAUGAAGCAAACUGUUGCAGGAUCAGGCUGCUGUGCUCAUGCAAGUGAUGGGAAAAGGCACGGUGAUGGAUCUUAAAAACGCUUUCAGGAAGAGCUUAUUGACAGGUGAGGUUAGCAGACAGCUAACAAAAUGCAGUGUUUGGAGGAAGAAUACGGUUGUCAAAGUGGCAUUCAUGGCAACGGAAAUGAUUUGUGAACUUGAGUUCCAUUUGAGCGGAUUCAGUAAAAGACGCAGCGAAACCUUUGGAAAUGUCAAAACACGAAGGUUUUUCCUUUAUGAACUGCUGAAGGUGAGUAUUUUGCAUUUUAUAAAGUGAUAUUUAAACAAAUACUCCUUCCACAGCAGCCUGUUGGUUGCAAAGAUUGACUUACGGUCAAAGACGAAAACUUAAAAUAGGUUAAGUUAAAAAACUUAAAAUUUGGCACCCAUCGUUCUGUACCUGACUAAAGGCUUGGAGGGAGCCUUUUGCUGUCAUUUGGGCAAAAAGCAGUCCAAAUCCCCAUGUCCUACCUGACCUCAUUUCUCCUCCACUUUUUUCAACAACUACGCCAGGAAAGGUCUGCUACCGGGGGACUAAAAUUCAGCUCAUCACCGUGGACACAGACGGCCACCUCGGCCAGCCUCUUUCUUCUACCCUAAGCCUCAGAAAUUACCAAACAUUAACAUUUCAUCAGUUCAGGGAGUUGGACGGCAGUUUGCACAGUAGCUGUCGAAAAGCUUUGCUGACUGCACUGCAAGUCAGCCUUUCCUGGGGUAUUUCGAGUGCAGCUGCUGUGGUUAAUUCAUGUGCUGGUGGCGGUUUUAAGGCCACGUGGCUUGAGCAGCCCACUGUUGUCACAGCUGGGCUCCAGCACACUGCGUCCCCAGAAAGAUGUAAGUCCACUGGAGACUGUGAAAAGCAGCAAAACAAGCAAGAAUGAGGUCUGAAAGCACAAGGAAGAAGGUCUUGUAAGGAAAAUGCUGCAUGGAGAGGCCGUGGGGCCCCUGCUAGGGCAGGUGUUUAGGAGGAAGCCAAGCCAGCAUUUGUCAGAGCUGACGCAGUCCAUCGUGCCCUAGCACAGGGGUGGAUAGGGUGGCUUUUUCAGUCCCUCUGAUUUUGGGAUCAAGG
rnacentral:lncRNA from 1 species